UACGUAGGGUGCAAGCGUUAAUCGGAAUUACUGGGCGUAAAGCGUGCGCAGGCGGUUAUGCAAGACAGAUGUGAAAUCCCCGGGCUCAACCUGGGAACUGCAUUUGUGACUGCAUGGCUGGAGUGCGACAGGGGGGGAUGGAAUUCCGCGUGUAGCAGUGAAAUGCGUAGAUAUUGGGAAGAACACCGGUGGCGAAGGCGGCUCUCUGGACCGAGACUGACGCUGAGGCGCGAAAGCGUGGGGAGCAAACAGG
rnacentral:rRNA from 1 species